UCUGCAGUGUUUUAAAACAAUGUCCCAGCUCAGCAGAUCAGCUGGAAAUGAUUCACUUGUAUUGAGGCACACUGUUAGUUUUGGCACUCAUCAUGACAUUAUUUGAAUAUAUGUACGUGUGUGUGUGUGUGUGUGUGUGUGUGUGUGUGUAUGUGUAUACUCAUUUCCUCAUCAGAUUUCCAUGCGAGUCUCUCGUCUUCCUGACUCUCUUUGUGUGUGUGUGUGUGUGUGUGUGUGUGUUUGUUUGUGUGUAGUGUAUUUUCUGGACCAGAAUAUUUUUCCCCCCAUAGUGAUUGACAUAGAGUAUAAAAUGGAAGAAUGGAAAAGUGAUUUUUAUAGUUUUAUAUGAAAUAUGACAAUAUUUGUUUACACGCCAACAUGACACAGCAUGCUGACACAAACAUAUCCCUAAAUAGACACACAGUAUUACAUUUAUUCAUUUCUGCUCCUCUGCGGGAGCUGUGCAUGGUUAUCGACAUCCAUCCAGAUCUCUACUUGAAUAAGAGCUCGGAGGCGUGGACUACAGCCAGGUGAUUAGAAUAAUCUGAAUAACGAGCCAAGGAAAUCCAUUUAAGCUGGUCUGUAACUCAGUUCUGUAUACAAGGAACUUUCCAGGAGUAAGUAUUAAUGUAGUUUUUUAAGACAAUGAGUAUAGCUUCAUUUUAUAAUAAGGUUUGUAGCAAAAUUCAAAAUUUUAACAGCAAAAUGCUCAAACAAAGUAAAGCCUUAUUUGGAUGAUGUUUGUUUCUGGUGAUGUGUGUAGAGUGGUGUAGAGAUGUGUAGAGACGUGGUGAGGUGUGUAGAGAGGUGUAGAGAUGUGGUGAGGUGUGUAGAGGUGUGGUGAGGUAUGUAGAGGUGUGUAGAGAGGUGUAGAGGUGUGUAGAGAUGUGUAGAGGUGUGUAAAGGUGUGUAGAGAUGAGGUGAGGUGUGUAGAGAUAUGGUGAGGUGUGUAGAGAUGUGGUGAGGUGUGUAGAGAUAUGGUGAGGUGUGUAGAGAUGUGGUGAGGUGUGUAGAGAUGUGGUGAGAUGUGUAGAGAUGUGUAGAGGUGUGGAGAGGUGUGUAGAGAGGUGUAGAGGUGUGUAGAGAUGUGGGGAGGUGUGUAGAGGUGUGUAAAGGUGUGUAGAGAUGUGGUGAGGUGUGUAGAGGUGUGGAGAGGUGUGUAGAGUUGUGGUGAGAUGUGUAACAAUGUGUAGAGAUGUGUAGAGAUGUGUAGAGGUGUGUACAGGUGUGUUGAGGUGUGUAGAGAUGUGUAGAGGUGUGUACAGGUGUGUUGAGGUGUGUAGAGGUGUGUAGAGGUGUGUAGAGGUGUGUUGAGGUGUGUAGAGGUGUGUUGAGGUGUGUACAGGUGUGUUGAGGUGUGUACAGGUGUGUUGAGGUGUGUUGAGGUGUGUAGAGGUGUGUAGAGGUGUGUUGAGGGGUGUAGAGGU